GACGAACGCUGGCGGCGCGCUUAACACAUGCAAGUCGAACGGAAAGGCCAUGCGUUUGCUGGGUGCUCGAGUGGCGAAAAGGUGUGUAACACGUGAGUGUCAUGCCCUCUACUGUGGGGUAACUUCAGGAAACAGGGGCGAAUAUCGGAUAGGAGCUCACGCUGCAUGGUGGGGGUUGGAAAGAUGCGGCGGUUGGGGAUGGACUCGAGGCGCAUCAGAUUGUUGGUGUGGUAGUGGCAUACCAAGGCAUGGACGGGUAGCGGGGCUGGGAGGGUGACCGGCCACAUUGGGACUGAGAUGAGGCCCAGACUCGUACGGGAGGCGGAGGAGGGGAAGGGUGUACAAUGGGCGGAAGCCUGAUGCAGCAACGCCGCGUGGGGGAGGACGGCCAUGGGGUUGUAUUCCGCUUUCGCCUGUGACGAAGCGUUAGUGACGGUAAUUGGUAAGGAAGCACCGGCUAACUACGUG
rnacentral:rRNA from 1 species